AACGAACGCUGGCGGCAUGCCUAACACAUGCAAGUCGAACGAGACCUUCGGGUCUAGGUGCGCACGGGUGCGUAACGCGUGGGAACCUACCCUUAGGUUCGGAAUAACUCCCCGAAAGGGGUGCUAAUACCGGAUAAUGUCUUCGGACCAAAGAUUUAUCGCCGUUGGAUGGGCGCGCGUUGGAUUAGCUAGUUGGUAGGGUAAAAGCCUACCAACGCGACGUUCCAUAGCUGGUCUGAGAGGAUGACAAGCCACAAUGGGACUGAGACACGGCCCAGACUCCUACGGGAGGGAGCAGUGGGGAAUAUUGGACAAGGGGCGAAAGCCUGAUCCAGCAAUGCCGCGUGAGUGAUGAAGGGCUUAGGGUUGCAAAGCUCUUUUACACGGGAUGAUAAUGACAGUACCGGGUGAAUAAGCUCCGGCUAACUACGUG
rnacentral:rRNA from 1 species